GUUAGUGGCGCACGGGUGCGUAACGCGUGGGAAUCUGCCCCUUGCUUCGGAAUAACAGUUAGAAAUGACUGCUAAUACCGGAUACGACCUCCGACCGCAUGGUCAGGGGGUGGAAAGAAUUUUGGUGGAGGAUGGACUCGCGGCCUAUCAGGUAGUUGGUGAGGUAAUGGCUCACCAAGCCGACGACGGGUAGCCGGCCUGAGAGGGUGACCGGCCACACUGGGACUGAGACACGGCCCAGACUCCUACGGGAGGCAGCAGUGGGGAAUAUUGCACAAUGGGCGAAAGCCUGAUGCAGCAACGCCGCGUGAGGGACGACGGCCUUCGGGUUGUAAACCUCUUUUAGUAGGGAAGAAGCGAAAGUGACGGUACCUGCAGAAAAAGCACCGGCUAACUACGUGCCAGCAGCCGCGGUAAUACGUAGGGUGCAAGCGUUGUCCGGAAUUAUUGGGCGUAAAGAGCUCGUAGGCGG
rnacentral:rRNA from 1 species